rnacentral:rRNA from 1 species
GUUAUCUGAUCCUCUUUUAGAGGUGACGAUAAUGGAAUGAGCGGCGGACGGGUGAGUAACACGUAGGCAACCUGCCUGUAAGACUGGGAUAACUCGUGGAAACGCGAGCUAAUACCGGAUAACACUUUUCAUCUCCUGAUGAGAAGUUGAAAGGCGGCUUUUGCUGUCACUUACAGAUGGGCCUGCGGCGCAUUAGCUAGUUGGUAAGGUAAUGGCUUACCAAGGCGACGAUGCGUAGCCGACCUGAGAGGGUGAUCGGCCACACUGGGACUGAGACACGGCCCAGACUCCUACGGGAGGCAGCAGUAGGGAAUCUUCCGCAAUGGACGAAAGUCUGACGGAGCAACGCCGCGUGAGUGAUGAAGGUUUUCGGAUCGUAAAACUCUGUUGUUAGGGAAGAACAAGUGCCAUAGUAACUGAUGGCACCUUGACGGUACCUAACCAGAAAGCCACGGCUAACUACGUGCCAGCAGCCGCGGUAAUACGUAGGUGGCAAGCGUUGUCCGGAAUUAUUGGGCGUAAAGCGCUCGCAGGCGGUUCUUUAAGUCUGAUGUGAAAUCUUACGGCUCAACCGUAAACGUGCAUUGGAAACUGGGGAACUUGAGUGCAGAAGAGGAGAGUGGAAUUCCACGUGUAGCGGUGAAAUGCGUAGAGAUGUGGAGGAACACCAGUGGCGAAGGCGACUCUCUGGUCUGUAACUGACGCUGAGGAGCGAAAGCGUGGGGAGCGAACAGGAUUAGAUACCCUGGUAGUCCACGCCGUAAACGAUGAGUGCUAGGUGUUAGGGGGUUUCCGCCCCUUAGUGCUGAAGUUAACGCAUUAAGCACUCCGCCUGGGGAGUACGGCCGCAAGGCUGAAAC